GCGGCGGUGGCGCAGUCGGCGACGCAGCAGGUUUAGGUCCUGUGGCCCCCAGGGGCUUGAGGGUUCGAAUCCCUUCCGCCGCA
rnacentral:tRNA from 3 species